CUCUCUCUAUCUAUCUAUAUAGACCGAUCUGCGCGUUAUCAGAUCUUUCUAGAGUAUUCGAUUUCCAUCGCCUCUCCUUGCGACGAAGAAGGAAAUAUGAGUAGCCGUGCCAGUCGAACCCUCUACGUUGGUAAUCUCCCUGGUGAUAUUCGUGAGAGGGAAGUAGAAGAUCUGUUUUACAAGUAUGGGCCCAUUGUUGACAUUGAUCUGAAAAUCCCUCCAAGGCCUCCGGGAUAUGCUUUUGUUGAGUUUGAGGAGGCUCACGAUGCUGAAGAUGCUAUUCGUGGUCGCGAUGGCUACAACUUUGAUGGUCAUAGGUUACGGGUGGAGCUUGCACAUGGUGGGAGAGGCCAAUCUUCAUCAUAUGACCGCCAUAAUAGCUACAGCGGCAGUGGGGGUGGUCGUGGUGGUGUUUCCAGGCGCUCUGAUUAUCGUGUGUUAGUAACUGGAUUACCCUCUUCUGCUUCAUGGCAAGAUCUAAAGGAUCACAUGCGUCGAGCUGGUGAUGUUUGUUUCUCCCAGGUGUUCCGUGAUGGUGGUGGCACCACAGGCAUUGUGGAUUACACAAACUAUGAUGACAUGAAAUAUGCUAUAAGGAAGCUUGAUGAUUCUGAGUUCCGGAAUGCAUUUUCUCGGUCGUAUAUAAGGGUGAAGGAGUAUGAAUACAGGCGGAGCUUAUCUAGGAGCCUUAGCCGUAGUCGAUCCUACUCCAGAAGCAGAAGCCCUAGUCGCAGUCGAAGCUACAGUAGAAGCAGAAGCCCUAGUCGUAGUCUUAGCUACAGCAGAAGCAGAAGCCGGAGCAAGUCUCCUAAAGUCAAAUCUUCACGCCUUUCCGUGUCUAGAUCUCGAUCUAGAUCGGUUUCUUCUCGCUCUCGUUCAGGGUCAAAGCCACGCUCCUUGUCAAGAUAACGGAUCAUGCGGCGAAUUGGGGAUUGCAUGUUAGGAACUUGAUGGGAUUUGGUGCGAAUGCCUGGAACUCGUUUUGGUUUUGGAGCAGAUCCCCAUCAGUGCGUAGUGGGCGGGGAAGGAUGGGUUGUACUAUUAAAGCUCGAUUUCCUUGAACUAAGUGGUGUUGGGACUUACAAUCAACAGUAGAAACAGACUCCAAUUCCUCCAUCGUCAUGCUAACACGAGUUGCGGUCAGGAUUCUGGAUGUGGAUUUUGGUGAUACAAUCAGAAAAAUGUUCCCUGUCUUACGUGUCGAUUCCUCUGUUCUUCUUUGCAACAUUCACUUCAUCCGAUCAUUGGCAGCGGUCUAUUUACUUGCUUUGAUUAAUGGGUGCCGUUUCAUGGCGAAGUUCCAGUUUAAAAUAAUGUCGAAAGUGGACUGUGUAAAAUUUAAUGCUUUUACAUGUUGAAUGAUGCUAAAAAGUGUGGACUUUCAUGAUUUUGAGAAUAUGGUAACUCGACGUGGAAGAGGCGUUGAGGCUUUUGGACCAAAAGCUGUCAAAGCAACGUUUGUGGAUAUUGAAUUCAGUUGUUUCUGGAACUUUUGCAGAUCCCGAUCAAGAUCCAAAUCCCUGUCACACUCCCCUCCUCGCCACAAACGAGCCAGUAGAACCCCAAAGAAGCGGAGCCCCAGCAAGAGCCGGAGCAGGAGUCAUAGCAGGAGCCUAUCUCGGUGAGAUAUGAGGUGGCAGCUGAGAUGUUGAAUUCUGAUAUCAUAGUGCAUACUGCGGGCUAUGCCUAUCCUCGUUAAGUGUCAUCGAUAAACAAUCUUCGUGAGACCAGUUUAGGACCUGUUCGUAUAAGAGCUGAUGGAUUAUCUGAGCUGUUGGAGUAUAUGUAGACGUUAAGGACCAGUUAGGACCUGUUCGUAUGACCUGUUCGUAUGAGAGCUGAACCACUGUUUGAAUGUAACCUUGCCUGCAUCUCUAUCUAUUUACUUUUUGCUGUGAUUGCACA